rnacentral:tRNA from 1 species
GGGGAUGUAGCUCAGCCGCACAGCACCUGCCCGGCAAGCAUGAGGCCCUGGGUUCAAUUCCCAGUACCA